CUGAUUUGGUGACGCUGUUCCCCCGAACACGUUACCUGGUUAAUCAGUCCUGAGAAAACUGAUUAGCCCGUCAAAACCCACGCCUGAGAACGUGGGUUUUUUCGU
rnacentral:antisense_RNA from 1 species